AUUGUUAUGUUUCUAUUUUUGGCUGAUCAGAUCUUUAAUUUACAGAUCCUACGUAUCCCAGCAGCAUUUUCGUUUACGGUCCCUUGCAUCAUUUUUAUGAAUGUUUGGAAGUUUCAUCUUCGGCAACAAUCGUAUGGAUACGAUCUGCACCAACCCUACCCGACCGGUGGAUCCGAGCUACUAGUUUGAAGGUUACGUUGCAAGGAAGGGAGUUAAAUCUGAACUGCAGAGAGAUUUCCUCUCUCUGUAUCCUUGCUCUCUCCGUUCUUUUUCUGAACAAGCAAAGAAUCAACUCAAUGAUAGAGAUCGAAGCCGCGGAAAUAAAAAAACAAAACAGUCGACAAAACUGUUUUUGUAUCUUUUCCAAGAGAUAGCGAGAAUCGAAACUGCGAAUACUUUUAAUGCUCUUGUUUUUUGGAAAUAAACUCCAUUAAACGCCUGGUCUCCAAGGUACAUUUGUAAAUAAGACCCUCAAUCAAGGAAUAUAUUUUAAUUCCAUCUAAGUUUAAGAUGUUUUAGGCGUAAUAUUUAGAUAUUUAACUCUCAAAGAUAAUGAAUAAAUACUCUGAUAAACUCCGGGCUCGAAUAAACUGCGAAAGUCAAAAAUAAACGCCGGAUCCACGACACCAGGUUUGAAAUAAAUACCAGGGGCGUUUAAUCGAGAAAACACGGUAUAACCUUAUUUUGCUGAUAUCAGCUGAUAUUUAUGGCGCGCUAAAUUAGGGUAUAUUUUUAUAUUGGCACCUCCCACUUUCCUGAUGUCAUGUCCUUUUUAUAUUCCUAAUUUUAUGCAUUUACGCACUUUCCUGUCUUGUAUUUAUUCUGUAUGGCUUAAGAAGUACCCUCCACUUUAUUCAUCCUUAUCAUGAUGAACAAAAUAUUUUAAGAUAGGAUCUAUUUGUUUUGACGCAGGUUGGCCGUAAUAAAUAGACUGCUCUCGAGAACAACAACAAGCAAAUAUGCCGAGUAUCGUACAAAAUUUUGCCCAAGAACGACUCGAUGUUUAAUUUUAUACGUCUACGAUAUUUUCACUUUUUGGUUUCUCUCUUUAUGAAUUCACUUGCUAGUUUCAGCUCUUGUUUGGGCGUGUAAGGCAAAUAUUCGAACAAAACAAGUAAGAAUAAUUAAGUAGAAACAGACCGAAGGUUUAAUAAUCUUUUAGCGGCACGUGCGCGAUACCCGAGUUUUGUAACAUGACUUCAAAACGGCUUAGCAGACUUGACAUCACAGAAAAUUACUGGCACGUGCAGUAGGCCUAACGCUCACUUUAACAGAGAGCUUCAGUCACGUGGUCCGUGUUUUCUCUGACCUCUGAAACACGUCGAAGUUUUGAUUGUCGUAAGAGUUGGACGAGGACAAGUCAUCAGGUCUAAUGCCACAACAAAAUAUACGAUGCUAGAUUAGAGUUUAGCCUUAAGCGACCAACAAAUGAUAAGUUACACGACAAGCUAUCGAGCGAAGUAAAUGUUUGAAAAUACACACCGUGGAAAACAAAUAAAAUUCCAGCUACUCUUAACUCGACCGCCCCCUUAAAGUGCUGUCCGAGCAAUAUCAAACGUUUGAAGUGGAUCAAAGUGGCUCUAAAAUAGAUUGCUUUGUUUUCGUGAUUAUUACCACAACAUGCGUGGGAAAGAUUUUUGUUGGUAAUAGCGCUGUUGAUCUCCCGUCAACAAAACAACCACCACACUUGUCAACCGCCAUUCUGUUGCCAGCUUUGACAACGAUGAUGGGGGUAAUUGUGGUUUAUGUCGGCUUACUUUUCGGGCCGUUGGAGGAAGUAUAUUUAAAUAUAACAUGGCGAUAAGUUAAGCUGCCGCUUAAUGAAUCAAACAGAUGAUUGCGUUUGUGUAAUUUCGUGAGUCGAUCUUGACCCUGGGGUGGGGGCGUGCGUUCGCUUCCAAGAUCAGACCGAUGUUAAAGGCAUUGUGAAGACGAAGGGCUUUUUGUUGAUGGUCUUAUCGAUGAUGAAAGAGGGCAAAAACCAUACCCUAUUUGAGACCCAAAUGACCAAAAUCGAUAUCCUGAUUAUAACCAAAAAGGCUAAAACCCAUACUCUUUGGGCCCGCACAUACCUAUAUAGCCCAUAUAAGGGAGUACCUCCCCGCCCCACCCCAGGACCCGGAAAUCUUGGCACACUUGGCACAAGAAAACAAUUUUUUUACUACCUCUAAUCACUCAUGAUCGCUGCCGGUAAAUACUUCGGCCACUUCAGGUAUUGUACCGGUUUAUGAGGGGUUGCAAACGAACAAAACAUAUUUUUGGAGGGAAACCAGGAGAGGCAAAGGAUUUGCAAGGUUCCAGAAGAAAAUAUUGUAAUAGCUCUUGCAAUCGGAAGAAGUUAUAUACGAAUCCUUUGGUUUACGCUUCAGUCGAAACUCUUUUACCGUGGAUAAAAUCGGGCUUGAAAUUUGUUAAUCGUCGGCUUUGGAACAAACAGAAGGAAGAACAAAAGAAGAACGAUCAACAUUUGGUUUUUUUAAUAGUCAGUAUAACCAGUGUUGGCCAAUAAAUAUCUACAAUAUAAAAUCUUAAUGUAAUUUGAAGCCAUGACAAACACUUACAUUUCAGUGUCUUAACAAAACUGACUACCUUUGACUUGCAUAAACUAAUUUUCUUUUUACAUACCACGAUCAAUAUGAUUGAGAUGAAUGACAUGUGCUAUA
rnacentral:lncRNA from 1 species